GGAUGUGAGGGGGAUCUGGCUGCGACAUCUGUCACCCCAUUGAUCGCCAGGGUUGAUUCGGCUGAUCUGGCUGGCUAGGCAGAUGUCCCCUUCCUCCCUCACCGCUCCAUGUGCGUCCCUCCCGAAGCUGCGUGCUCAGUCGAAGAGGACAGCCUUUCCCGAAUAGAGAUGGACUGGUCUUCGGUCAAAGGUAUACGAGUAGCUGUGCUCCCCUGCUAGAACCUCCAAACGAGCUCUCAGAAAGUUAAGUACCCUACCCAGGAAUUAUAGCAUGCCAGUGAUGGAGCUUUGAGUAGAUGUCUCCUCUGCAUU
rnacentral:snRNA from 1 species